AUUGAACGCUGGCGGCAGGCUUAACACAUGCAAGUCGAGCGGUAACAGGGGGUGCUUGCACCCCGCUGACGAGCGGCGGACGGGUGAGUAAUGCUUAGGAAUCUGCCCAGUAGUGGGGGAUAGCCCGGGGAAACCCGGAUUAAUACCGCAUACGUCCUACGGGAGAAAGCAGGGGAUCUUCGGACCUUGCGCUAUUGGAUGAGCCUAAGUCGGAUUAGCUAGUUGGUGGGGUAAAGGCCUACCAAGGCAACGAUCCGUAGCUGGUUUGAGAGGAUGAUCAGCCACAUCGGGACUGAGACACGGCCCGAACUCCUACGGGAGGCAGCAGUGGGGAAUAUUGGACAAUGGGGGCAACCCUGAUCCAGCCAUGCCGCGUGUGUGAAGAAGGCUUUCGGGUUGUAAAGCACUUUCAGUAAGGAGGAAAACCUUACGGUUAAUAACCGUGAGGCUUGACGUUACUUACAGAAGAAGCACCGGCUAACUCCGUGCCAGCAGCCGCGGUAAUACGGAGGGUGCAAGCGUUAAUCGGAAUUACUGGGCGUAAAGCGCGCGUAGGUGGUUCGAUAAGCGGGAUGUGAAAGCCCCGGGCUUAACCUGGGAACGGCAUUCCGAACUGUCGAGCUAGAGUAUGGUAGAGGGUAGUGGAAUUUCCUGUGUAGCGGUG
rnacentral:rRNA from 1 species